UACAGAGGUCUCAAGCGUUGUUCGGAUUCAUUGGGCGUAAAGGGUGCGUAGGCGGCCGGGUAAGUCUGUUGUGAAAUCUCCGAGCUUAACUCGGAAACUGCAGUGGAUACUAUCCGGCUCGAGGAAUGGAGGGGAGACUGGAAUACUUGGUGUAGCAGUGAAAUGCGUAGAUAUCAAGUGGAACACCAGUGGCGAAGGCGAGUCUCUGGACAUUUCCUGACGCUGAGGCACGAAAGCCAGGGGAGCAAACGGG
rnacentral:rRNA from 1 species